AAUUUAUUAGUUUAAAAAAAACAUUAUAUUUUCAAUAUAAAAAUGAAUUUAAAUUCAUAAAUUA
rnacentral:tRNA from 1 species